rnacentral:lncRNA from 1 species
GAAAACUCAGUCUAGCUGUGCCUUGAGGCCAAAUAUUUAAUUGUUAAAAUUUUUAAUUUUAUUUAAUUGCUAAAUUAAAUUUAAUUUAACAAUUAAAUAUUUAAUAUUUAAUUGUUAAAAAUGCCUGAGUGAUCCAUGACCCUGAAAUUACUUUCUUACAAGACUAUGAUUUGAAUGCUCAUGAGCACUCACUUUUCAAGUAUACAAUUGCUUUUAAUUAUCUCUGAAUAUUUGGAAUAAUAAAGCUCACAGCCUUUUUCAAAGAUAUCAAAGUUUAUUACUGAAAAAAAAAAAAGUAAUAAUCAAAUGUGCAUGAUACAGCAAGUAGUUGCAUUUGUAUAUGUAAACCUUAAUAAAGUAAAUAGCAUCCCAAAGACAAAUUUAUGCCAAAAGUGUCUUACAAUAGUUAAUCAGAUUUACAACUUUUUCCUCAGUGAAUUAUUUUACUUCUGGGGUACAUAGCUGCUUGUAAAAGCAAUCUUAAAACACAAAAGAAACUGAAAGCUAACAUGCUGGAGGAACUUACAGCUUUUGCACAGAAAAGUAGUUUUCUCCAAAAUGCUCUCUGAUACUGUAAACUUGUUUUAAAUAUUACUUACAAAGUGUAGAUUCAUGAGUAGAAAAAAUAGCUGAAAUUUUAUUCUUACUCCUUACUUAGAAAUCAAGCUGUAUUUAAACAUUACAUAAAUUUCAAAUAUAUACACAUUUUAAGAAAUCUCUUAUGAUCAGGAUAUUGCAAGUUAGCCAGGAUUAUCAGAGUAAAAAAAUGACUGAACCAUCUUAUUCAGUUAGGUUUUACAUGAGAUUAUUUCAAAGAACCAAAAUUUCAGUGAUACUACUCUAGGUAAAAAUUAGAGCCAACAGUUUGGAAGAUUUUUCAAUACAAAACUCCAAGUUGUUUAAAUAGAACAUGAAAAUAAAAUGUGAUCUGAUUUUUUUUUUUUUUUCAUUAUUAACAGAAAAAUCAUCGUGUUCUCAGUGGUUAAAAAUCUCACUAGCUUUAGACUCCAUUGGGUUUAAUCCUAAUUUUUUACCCUGUUGCAUCCUAACAAGUAGCUCAUGUCAGUAAGAAUGCAAACUACAGAGAACAACGAGCAAUACAGAGGUUGAAUCCAGAAGAUAGAAUGAGCCAACAGAACUAACACAAGGUCAUCUCAAGUGCAGUGAAGAGGGAUUUUACCAUCAGCAUUGUGAGACUAAAUCCCAGCCCUGGAUUUAAGAAGCUCCUGUGUACCAUGGCAUAGUGAUUUCCCUACUGUUCCACUAGAACUUUGUGCUGUUGUGGUAACAUUGUGCUGUCACGGUUAGGCCAAGGUUAUCAGAAAUCCAAAUUUCUAGUAAAUGUGCUUGCAAUGGCAAUAUCAGACAAAAAUUGUCAAAACCAAUCCAUUCUAGAAAUCUAAAAAUUAUGCAAGU